AAUGUAGUAAUACAUUCAGUGGCGAACGGGUGAGUAACGCGUGGAUAAUCUACCUACGAGAUGGGGAUAACUAUUAGAAAUAGUAGCUAAUACCGAAUAAAGUCAAUUAAGAUGUUAGUUGAUGAAAGGAAGCCUUUAAAGCUUCGCUUGUAGAUGAGUCUGCGUCUUAUUAGCUAGUUGGUGGGAUAAGAGCCUACCAAGGCUAUGAUAAGUAACCGGCCUGAGAGGGUGAUCGGUCACACUGGAACUGAGAUACGGUCCAGACUCCUACGGGAGGCAGCAGCUAAGAAUCUUCCGCAAUGGGCGAAAGCCUGACGGAGCGACACUGCGUGAACGAAGAAGGUCGAAAGAUUGUAAAGUUCUUUUAUAAGUGAGGAAUAAGCUUUGUAGGAAAUGACAAAGCGAUGACGUUAAUUUAUGAAUAAGCCCCGGCUAAUUACGUGCCAGCAGCCGCGGUAAUACGUAAGGGGCGAGCGUUGUUCGGGAUCAUUGGGCGUAAAGGGUGAGUAGGCGGAUAUGCAAGUCUAUGUGUAAAAUACCACAGCUCAACUGUGGAACUAUGCUGGAAACUGCAUGACUAGAGUCUGAUAGGGGAAGUUAGAAUUCCUGGUGUAAGGGUGGAAUCUGUUGAUAUCAGGAAGAAUACCAGAGGCGAAGGCGAACUUCUAGGUCAAGACUGACGCUGAGUCACGAAAGCGUAGGGAGCAAACAGGAUUAGAUACCCUGGUAGUCUACGCUGUAAACGAUGCACACUUGGUGUUAAUCGAAAGGUUAGUACCGAAGCUAACGUGUUAAGUGUGCCGCCUGGGGAGUAUGUUCGCAAGAAUGAAACUCAAAGGAAUUGACGGGGGCCCGCACAAGCGGUGGAGCAUGUGGUUUAAUUCGAUGAUACGCGAGGAACCUUACCAGGGCUUGACAUAUACAGGAUAUAGUUAGAGAUAACUAUUCCCCGUUUGGGGUCUGUAUACAGGUGCUGCAUGGUUGUCGUCAGCUCGUGCCGUGAGGUGUUGGGUUAAGUCCCGCAACGAGCGCAACCCUUGUUGUCUGUUACCAGCAUGUAAAGAUGGGGACUCAGACGAGACUGCCGGUGAUAAGCCGGAGGAAGGUGAGGAUGACGUCAAAUCAUCAUGGCCCUUAUGUCCUGGGCUACACACGUGCUACAAUGGCCUGUACAAAGCGAUGCGAAACAGUGAUGUGAAGCAAAACGCAGAAAGCAGGUCUCAGUCCAGAUUGAAGUCUGAAACUCGGCUUCAUGAAGUUGGAAUCGCUAGUAAUCGUAUAUCAGAAUGAUACGGUGA
rnacentral:rRNA from 1 species